rnacentral:rRNA from 1 species
UACGGAGGGUGCAAGCGUUAUCCGGAUUCACUGGGUUUAAAGGGUGCGUAGGUGGGCAAGUAAGUCAGUGGUGAAAUCUUUGGGCUUAACCCGAAAAUUGCCAUUGAUACUAUAUAUCUUGAAUGCUGUGGAGGUAAGCGGAAUAUGUCAUGUAGCGGUGAAAUGCUUAGAGAUGACAUAGAACACCUAUUGCGAAGGCAGCUUACUACGCAGAUAUUGACGCUCAUGCACGAAAGCGUGGGGAUCAAACAGG